GACGAACCGUGCGAACGUUAUUCGGAAUCACUGGGCUUAAAGGGCGCGUAGGCGGGUCAUCAAGUCAGGGGUGAAAUACUCCGGCCUAACCGGAGAACGGCUUCUGAUACUGGUGACCUCGAGGGGUGUAGGGGCAUGUGGAACUUCCGGUGGAGCGGUGAAAUGCGUAGAUAUCGGAAGGAACGCCGGUGGCGAAAGCGACGUGCUGGACACCUUCUGACGCUGAGGCGCGAAAGCCAGGGGAGCAAACGGG
rnacentral:rRNA from 1 species